CACGUGGGUAACCUACCUAUAAGACUGGGAUAACUUCGGGAAACCGGAGCUAAUACCGGAUAAUAUUUCGAACCGCAUGGUUCGAUAGUGAAAGAUGGUUUUGCUAUCACUUAUAGAUGGACCCGCGCCGUAUUAGCUAGUUGGUAAGGUAACGGCUUACCAAGGCGACGAUACGUAGCCGACCUGAGAGGGUGAUCGGCCACACUGGAACUGAGACACGGUCCAG
rnacentral:rRNA from 1 species